rnacentral:rRNA from 1 species
UGCAGUCGAGCGGACCGACGGGAGCUUGCUCCCUUAGGUCAGCGGCGGACGGGUGAGUAACACGUGGGUAACCUGCCUGUAAGACUGGGAUAACUCCGGGAAACCGGGGCUAAUACCGGAUGCUUGAUUGAACCGCAUGGUUCAAUCAUAAAAGGUGGCUUUUAGCUACCACUURCAGAUGGACCCGCGGCGCAUUAGCUAGUUGGUGAGGUAACGGCUCACCAAGGCGACGAUGCGUAGCCGACCUGAGAGGGUGAUCGGCCACACUGGGACUGAGACACGGCCCAGACUCCUACGGGAGGCAGCAGUAGGGAAUCUUCCGCAAUGGACGAAAGUCUGACGGAGCAACGCCGCGUGAGUGAUGAAGGUUUUCGGAUCGUAAAACUCUGUUGUUAGGGAAGAACAAGUACCGUUCGAAUAGGGCGGCACCUUGACGGUACCUAACCAGAAAGCCACGGCUAACUACGUGCCAGCAGCCGCGGUAAUACGUAGGUGGCAAGCGUUGUCCGGAAUUAUUGGGCGUAAAGCGCGCGCAGGCGGUUUCUUAAGUCUGAUGUGAAAGCCCCCGGCUCAACCGGGGAGGGUCAUUGGAAACUGGGGAACUUGAGUGCAGAAGAGGAGAGUGGAAUUCCACGUGUAGCGGUGAAAUGCGUAGAGAUGUGGAGGAACACCAGUGGCGAAGGCGACUCUCUGGUCUGUAACUGACGCUGAGGCGCGAAAGCGUGGGGAGCGAACAGGAUUAGAUACCCUGGUAGUCCACGCCGUAAACGAUGAGUGCUAAGUGUUAGAGGGUUUCCGCCCUUUAGUGCUGCAGCAAACGCAUUAAGCACUCCGCCUGGGGAGUACGGUCGCAAGACUGAAACUCAAAGGAAUUGACGGGGGCCCGCACAAGCGGUGGAGCAUGUGGUUUAAUUCGAAGCAACGCGAAGAACCUUACCAGGUCUUGACAUCCUCUGACAACCCUAGAGAUAGGGCUUCCCCUUCGGGGGCAGAAUGACAGGUGGUGCAUGGUUGUCGUCAGCUCCUGUCGUGAGAUGUUGGGUUAAGUCCCGCAACGAGC